GCUCGGUGUGGUGGUGCACACCUGUAAUCACAGCUGAGGCUGAGGCUGAGGCAGGAGGAUUGCAAGUUUGAAGUCAGCCUGGGCAACUUAGCAAGAACCUGUCCCAG
rnacentral:sRNA from 1 species